UACGAAGGGGGCUAGCGUUGUUCGGAAUUACUGGGCGUAAAGGGCGCGUAGGCGGUGUGUCAAGUCAGGCGUGAAAGCCCCGGGCUCAACCUGGGAACCGCGCUUGAGACUGGCACGCUCGAGUUCGGGAGAGGAUGGUGGAAUUCCCAGUGUAGAGGUGAAAUUCGUAGAUAUUGGGAAGAACACCGAUGGCGAAGGCAGUUAACUAUUCGGUUCCUGACGUUUGAG
rnacentral:rRNA from 1 species